CAGAUUGAAGGAUGAUGCAUAUUAUAAACAGACUCUAAUGACUCUUUGGGCUUAUAAGUUAUAACCCAGGAAAUGAUCUCCAUGACACGAGGUAUACAGUAUUCUAUAUUCUUUUUAGUAAUACAAAUUUCUACAAUGACACAUUAAUAUACUAUAUUUACACGAGUUAUUCCUUGAGCAGAAGAUUGUUGUUAUGAUAUAAUAGUUUAAAAAUGAUCGAAGGGGAGCUAGGAACUUCUUAAAUUCAAAAGGAGUUUUAAGUUUCUUUUCUUUUUUGUGCUUUUUCGUAAAUAAAAAAAGGGAAAAGGCUCAAAAAUACCCCCUAAACUAUCCGAAAUAGCUCAUAUUUACCCUUAAACUAUAUUCCGGUUCAAAACUACCCUUCCCGUCAUACUAUUGGGUCAAAAGUACCCUUCUUAUUAACUGAAGUUGUUAAAUGCCAAGUGGAUGCCACAUGGCAUCCCUAAUUUUUCCCCUCAUUUCUCCAUUUCCCUUAGAAACGAUUUCAUCCAUUUCCCUAAUUUUCCACUCAUUGCAACAACAUUGUCUUAGUUUUAGCUUAUUUUUGUUCACAUGUUCAAUUUCAUGGCUUAGUGGAUUUAGUAGUGGCCACUGUUUGUUUUUCAAACUUUAGCUUCCAAACUAUGGUGAAUAAUGUUACUGGAUCAUUCAUUUACACUGAUGUAACUGUCUAGAAUGGUUGUAAUUAACUAGCUAGGUAGAGGGUAAAUCAUGCAAAUUCCUCAAAUAUAGUGAAGUUAGCAAAAAGAAAAGGAAUACAAGUACCUAAACCAAAUACUAAGACACCUGUGAGUUCAUAAUUCUUAGCAGUUUUGUCACUACAAACAAGCUUCAUAUUUUAAUUUUUUUUCUGAGAAGUAAUAAACAAGCUUCCUACAAGUCAAGUGAGGCAUUAAAUUUCUAGGUGUUACUUCCAUUUUUAGUUGAAAUUCUGCCAUCAUCUAUGCAUUCACAGUAUAAGAACAAUGCACACUGAAAACUGACUUAUUUCUUUUCCCUUUACAGAGUUAACUAAUUCUACUUAGGACUCUCUGACAUGAAUGAUUUCAGAUAAGUUUUAAUUCAUCUAAGGGAAAUGGAGAAAUGAGUGGAAAAUUAGGGAAAUGGAUGAAAUCGUUUCUAAGGGAAAUGGAGAAAUGAGGGGAAAGGGGUGGGUGAAAUGGUUUCAAAUGGAAAUGGAGAAAUGAGGGGGAAAAAUAGGGAUUAGGAAUAUUAGUCUAUGUGGAAAUGAAUGAAAUUGUGGCGCUUACGUGGCAUGUCAUGUGGCAUCCACAUGGCAUUUAACAGCUUCAGUUAAUAAGAAGGGUACUUUUGACCCAAUAGUAUGACAGGAAGGGUAGUUUUGAGCCGGAAUAUAAUUUAAGGGUAAAUAUGAGCUAUUUAGGAUAGUUUAGGGGUAUUUUUGAGCCUUUUCCGAUAAAAAAAUUAUACUCACUCACCUAUAUUCUAGGAUAAUCCUGGUGAUAUAUAGAGUCAUCAUUUCUCAUUUAAUAUGUUUUUAUUUCCUUUCUAAUAUUUUCAAUAGACAUCCUGUGAGGGUCAUAUAAAUAGACCCUGCAAGCUGACUACUACCUUCAUCAGUUACUAGGCUGUGAUGAGAUUGAGAGAACUCAACAGCAGAUCGAGUAAAAAUAUUGCCUCUUCAUUCAUAGUGAGAGAACUCAACAGCAUUUAGACAUGAUAAAUAACGUUGAAUUUAAUUUCUCGCAUUAUCUUUUCACCUUCUCCCUUACCCCUAAGGGGGAGACAAUACCAUUCUGUUGUCAUUCAGAUGCAUGGGCUGCUUGAUAGUUGGUGUAUUUGAAUGAUGAUCUACUUCAGUUCCUUGAUAAAUCAUAAGAAAUUUCAGUUCAUUUCUUAGUAGUAUUAUGCUAUGACAUCAAUUAACAUGGGUGUAUAUAAUAUAGUCUAUUAUAUUAACUUGAUUUCGUUCAGCACCAUUAAUGUUGAUUCGUUAUUUUAGUUCUUUUAAUUAAAUAAUACACUGAUAAAUUUGAGGGUAUUAUUAUAAAAAAUCACUGAUGAUACAAAAGAUUUCCAUAAGCCUAUUAGUGUUCUGUUGCUCUAUUAUGGUGUGGUUAUUUUGUCUUUUUAAUCUUUCUGUAGUAAUGGAAUGUUACAAGUGUCUUGCAACUUUUAACUUUUUUUGCACAAGAGUUUAUGGAAUAUGUACAUCUGCCAAACUUUUUUUGCAUAAGAGUUUAUGGAGUAUGUACAAAUGCAACGUUUUAUUUUAUAGCUUUCUAGUUUUAUUUUUGCAGACCUCUUUAUUUCAUGUUUUCUCAGCUAAUUGUUUUUUUACUAGCUUUUUAAAGCUAUAUGAUUUUUGGAAUAGCCAAGGAUGGCUUCCAAGCUGUAGAGUGUAGCUCUUUCUUACUGAAAUGAUAAAUCAAGACACGUUCAAAGAUACAUACAUUUGAUAUGUUUAAUGGUAUAUUUCUAUUUAUUUGUAUUUUUUUCAUGUCGUAUAAAUAACUAUCUUAUUAAGCGCAAUGAUGUACACAGAAGAUAUUUUUCACAUGUAACAAUAGCUUCCUGGUAAAUUUGUAUAUGGAUGGAUUUAAAAUGCUUUAUUGUUUGAGUAACAGUUGUCAUUUGCAAGGAGUGUUGUUUUAGUUUAUAGCUAGGUAUUCAGUGUAAGUUAUAAUAGUUAACCAGAAGCCUCAAGCAUUUUGAUAUGGUCAAAUAUAUAUGAUUUUCAAUUUUAUGUCAUAACUGUGGGAGUGUU
rnacentral:lncRNA from 1 species